GACAGAUGGUUCUGUCACAAGCCAGUAGGUUAAUUGCCUAAUGCAGAGCCCUACAUCAAGCAUGACAUGCCAUGAGAACAAACCUUGCCUGGAAUUGCUCAGUGAAUGCCCAUUAAUGAUGGGCUACCAACCCUGGGAACCGUGAGUCCAUCUUUCUGCAUGCACAGACGCCACCCCCUAAGCCCUGCGCGCUCCUGCCCUGACAAGUAUUAGAGUCCAGUAGCCAGAAAACGGCCUCUGGGCCUUCUCAAUGCUUGUGAGUGGUGCUGUCCUGUGUGACCCUUCCGACGGGGCGGUGUGCGAGCAUGGAGUCAUG